UGCAGCUCAGACCGCGCUCGUCGCGUAUUCCCGCGCCGGCGGAGGCGAUGGUGGACGAGGACCAGGCGGCCUCGGAGGAGGAGGAGGAGGCCGAGCACGGCUUGCUGCUCGCGCAACCCAGCAGCGGCGCGGCGGCCGAGCCACUAGACGAAGAGGAGGACGGAGACGACGAGGCCCCGGAGGAACUCACUUUCGCUAGCGCCCAGGCGGAAGCCAGGGAGGAGGAGCUGCGCGUGCGCGAGAGUGCUCGCAGGGAUAAAACGCUGCUAAAGGAGAAGAGGAAGCGGCGUGAGGAGCUGUUCAUCGAACAGAAGGUUGGAGGCGGGACGUGUCGCUUUGUAAACACGGCGGGGGCUAGCGUUCCCAUGCUAAAGGCUCCUUUUAGGAUAGGGUGUUGGAGCGGGACAAGAGCCACCGACAAUUCUUGGAGUCUGCCCUAAUUCAAAGUGGGCACGGAAGCGCUGACACUCAGCUGGCCCUGAUAUAUGCUUGCCGCGGUAGUGAGGUUUUCUUGAGUUUCUAAAAUUCUAAACUGGAGCUAAUGAUUACUUACUUCGCACCCCAGAGAUCUGAUUUCAAAUAGCCAUGCCUUCUAUUCAUACAUAACAGGGGUUAUGAACGUUGUGCUACUUGGGGUAAAAUUUCAGAGAAUGUGCUGGGCUUCCUAAGCUCAGUCUUUCUGUUGUUGUCUUAGAGGUAGCAGGACAGUGUCUUUAACUUGUC
rnacentral:lncRNA from 1 species